rnacentral:rRNA from 1 species
UACGUAGGGGGCGAGCGUUGUCCGGAUUUAUUGGGCGUAAAAGGCUUGUAGGUGGCCACGUCAAGUCGGAUGUGUAAUCUCCCGGCUCAACUGGGAGGGGUCAUUCGAUACUGGCGGGCUCGAGGCCGGUAGGGGGAAGCGGAAUUCCCGGUGUAGUGGUGGAAUGCGUAGAUAUCGGGAGGAACACCAGUGGCGAAGGCGGCUUCCUGGACCGGUUCUGACACUGAGGCGCGAUAGCAUGGGGAGCAAACAGG